CAGGGCCUGAGCGGGUUCUGUGCCUGGCUGCCCACCGGCUCUCUGACCUGGACCUCGCCGUCGCUGGCCCCUGAAAUCCAUCACUUUUGUCGGCUGUUCUGUGACGCCACAACGAGGAGCCACCUGGGCUCUGCUGACCCUUCGGGAUUCGCGGCUAGCUGUGAUGUGUCCGCCAAGAUCUCUUCUCUUGUCUGUAAACAACUUCACUCUCAAGGAGGCAGCUCUGGCCUCUCAGCAGGAGCUGGGGAGGAGUGACUGAAUAACUAUAGGAUUUGGUCUUGAUGGGAGAAUCCCAGAAGCCAAAUCCACGCGGUGAAUAAGCUGCUGAUCUUCCAGAGCACACAUCCCCUAGAGAUUCUUCCCAAUGCUAAUAUGAAAGGUUACAACCAUAACCCAUCAUCAGGCCCAAAUAUAUUACUUACUGAAUAAAUACACAAGUUACAACAACAAAAAAAAAAAAAAA
rnacentral:lncRNA from 1 species